rnacentral:SRP_RNA from 1 species
UUUCCAGACCUGUGCAACGGUUUCGGAGGACACCGGGUCAGGAUGGGAACAUAGCAGCCCACCCUCCGUCACCGUGUGCCGCAGCCAUCUGGGGAGAG